rnacentral:rRNA from 1 species
GGGGUGAAAUUCUUGGAUUACUAGAAGGCGAACUACUGCGAAAGCAUUUACCAAGGAUGUUUUCAUUAAUCAAGAACGAAAGUUGGGGGCUCGAAGACGAUCAGAUACCGUCCUAGUCUCAACCAUAAACGAUGCCGACCAGGGAUCGGCGGAUGUUGCUCUUAGGACUCCGCCGGCACCUUAUGAGAAAUCAAAGUCUUUGGGUUCCGG